CCUACGGGAGGCAGCAGUGAGGAAUAUUGGUCAAUGGGCGGGAGCCUGAACCAGCCAAGUCGCGUGAGGGAAGACGGUCCUAUGGAUUGUAAACCUCUUUAGGCGGGGAGCAAUGCCGGGCACGCGUGCCCGGAGGGAGAGUACCCGCAGAAUAAGCAUCGGCUAACUCCGUGCCAGCAGCCGCGGUAAUACGGAGGAUGCGAGCGUUAUCCGGAUUUAUUGGGUUUAAAGGGUGCGUAGGCGGUCCGGAAAGUCAGCGGUAAAAGCCCGGGGCUCAACCCCGGCGAGCCGUUGAAACUGUCGGACUAGAGACGGCGAGAAGUACGCGGAAUGCGCGGUGUAGCGGUGAAAUGCAUAGAUAUCGCGCAGAACUCCGAUUGCGAAGGCAGCGUACCGGCGCCGGACUGACGCUGAGGCACGAAAGCGUGGGUAUCGAACAGGAUUAGAUACCCGGGUAGUC
rnacentral:rRNA from 1 species